rnacentral:misc_RNA from 1 species
GAUGAAGAACGCAGUGAAAUGCGAUACGUAGUGUGAAUUGCAGAAUUCAGUGAAUCAUCGAAUCUUUGAACGCACAUUGCGCCCCUUGGUAUUCCGAGGGGCAUGCCUGUUCGAGCGUCAUUAUAACCCCUCAAGCUCAGCUUGGUAUUGGGGCCUGCCGCACGGGCAGCCCUUAAAAUCAGUGGCGGUGCCAUCUGGCUCUAAGCGUAGUAAUUCUUCUCGCUAUAGAGUCCCGGUAGAUGCUUGCCAUUAACCCCCAAUUUUCUAUGGUUGACCUCGGAUCAGGUAGGGAUACCCGCUGAACUUAAGCAUAUCAAUAAGCGGAGGA